rnacentral:rRNA from 1 species
GGUGAACGCUAGCGGCAGGCCUAAUACAUGCAAGUCGAACGGUAAGGCCCUUUCGGGGGUACACGAGUGGCGGACGGGUGCGUAACGCGUACACAACGUACCUCAGAGCGGGGGAUAGCAUUGGGAAACUGGUGGUAAAACCCCAUGGUGUUGCUGAAUGGCAUCAUUUAGCAACUAAAGUUUACACUUUGAGAUCGGUGUGCGUCUGAUUAGCUAGUUGGCGGGGUAACGGCCCACCAAGGCGACGAUCAGUAGGGGGUGUGAGAGCAUGACCCCCCACAUGGGUACUGAGACACGGACCCAACUCCUACGGGAGGCAGCAGUAAGGAAUAUUGGACAAUGGGCGCAAGCCUGAUCCAGCCAUGCCGCGUGAAGGAUGAAGGCGCUCAGCGUUGUAAACUUCUUUUGGACGGGAACAAUAACUUCGACUUGUCGAGGCUUGAGGGUACCGUCAGAAUAAGCACCGGCUAACUCCGUG